rnacentral:rRNA from 1 species
GACGAGCGGCGGACGGGUGAGUAAUGUCUGGGAAACUGCUGAUGGAGGGGGAUAACUACUGGAAACGGUAGCUAAUACCGCAUAACGUCGCAAGACCAAAGAGGGGGACCUUCGGGCCUCUUGCCAUCAGAUGUGCCCAGAUGGGAUUAGCUAGUAGGUGGGGUAANGGCUCACCUAGGCGACGAUCCCUAGCUGGUCUGAGAGGAUGACCAGCCACACUGGAACUGAGACACGGUCCAGACUCCUACGGGAGGCAGCAGUGGGGAAUAUUGCACAAUGGGCGCAAGCCUGAUGCAGCCAUGCCGCGUGUAUGAAGAAGGCCUUCGGGUUGUAAAGUACUUUCAGCGGGGAGGAAGGCGUUGAGGUUAAUAACCUCAGCGAUUGACGUUACCCGCAGAAGAAGCACCGGCUAACUCCGUGCCAGCAGCCGCGGUAAUACGGAGGGUGCAAGCGUUAAUCGGAAUUACUGGGCGUAAAGCGCACGCAGGCGGUCUGUCAAGUCGGAUGUGAAAUCCCCGGGCUCAACCUGGGAACUGCAUUCGAAACUGGCAGGCUAGAGUCUUGUAGAGGGGGGUAGAAUUCCAGGUGUAGCGGUGAAAUGCGUAGAGAUCUGGAGGAAUACCGGUGGCGAAGGCGGCCCCCUGGACAAAGACUGACGCUCAGGUGCGAAAGCGUGGGGAGCAAACAGGAUUAGAUACCCUGGUAGUCCACGCCGUAAACGAUGUCGACUUGGAGGUUGUGCCCUUGAGGCGUGGCUUCCGGAGCUAACGCGUUAAGUCGACCGCCUGGGGAGUACGGCCGCAAGGUUAAAACUCAAAUGAAUUGACGGGGGCCCGCACAAGCGGUGGAGCAUGUGGUUUAAUUCGAUGCAACGCGAAGAACCUUACCUACUCUUGACAUCCAGAGAACUUUCCAGAGAUGGAUUGGUGCCUUCGGGAACUCUGAGACAG